GAUGAACGCUGGCGGCGUGCCUAAUACAUGCAAGUCGAGCGAACGGACGAGAAGCUUGCUUCUCUGAUGUUAGCGGCGGACGGGUGAGUAACACGUGGAUAACCUACCUAUAAGACUGGGAUAACUUCGGGAAACCGGAGCUAAUACCGGAUAAUAUUUUGAACCGCAUGGUUCAAAAGUGAAAGACGGUCUUGCUGUCACUUAUAGAUGGAUCCGCGCUGCAUUAGCUAGUUGGUAAGGUAACGGCUUACCAAGGCAACGAUGCGUAGCAGACCUGAGAGGGUGAUCGGCCACACUGGAACUGAGACACGGUCCAGACUCCUACGGGAGGCAGCAGUAGGGAAUCUUCCGCAAUGGGCGAAAGCCUGACGGAGCAACGCCGCGUGAGUGAUGAAGGUCUUCGGAUCGUAAAACUCUGUUAUUAGGGAAGAACAUAUGUGUAAGUAACUGUGCACAUCUUGACGGUACCUAAUCAGAAAGCCACGGCUAACUACGUG
rnacentral:rRNA from 1 species